rnacentral:rRNA from 1 species
UGGGUAACCUGCCUCAAAGAGGGGAAUAGCCUCCCGAAAGGGAGAUUAAUACCGCAUAAUAUGUUUAAGUCGCAUGACUUUAACAUCAAAGGAUUUUCUUUUAGAACUUCCACUUUGAGAUGGACCCGCGGCGCAUUAGCUUGUUGUUGAGGUAAAAGCUCACCAAGGCGACGAUCCUUAGCUGGUCUGAGAGGAUGAUCAGCCACACUGGGACUGAGACACGGCCCAGAUCCGUACGGG